rnacentral:lncRNA from 1 species
GCCUAAUGACUGUUCUUAUUCUCUCCCAGUUCCCUUGUUUUAUAUUUUUGUAUAUUCUGUCUUUGAACACUGGCUGUGAAUUCAACUACAUAGCAUCAGAUUGGAUAAUGGGCUAAGAACCACUGAUUUGAUUUAUGAUGAGGACAAGAACUUGGAGAUUUACAAGAAAAUUUUGGAGUCCAGAGGAUGCUCAACUACAAAUGAUGGGGUUUUGUAGUAUGCCUGUAGGAUUAUGCCAUGUGAUGCAGACAACGAAAGGAGAAUGUUCCACCACAAAACAGACUGCUAAUGUGAGUGAAAAGCAUCAGGAUUUGGAAGCAGCAAGCAUCAGGAUGGGAAGACCUCAGGAAUUCAUACAUAAAAAUCAGAGAAGAACCAUCUUUGAAAAUAUCCAUCAUGAUUUUCAUAAGAAGUGCCACAAAAAGGUAUCUAUUUUCCUGCAAAAGUUGUUGAUUUUCCCUGUGUAUCUGCAUCUCAGCCACUGC